AUACGGAGGGUGCAAGCGUUACUCGGAAUCACUGGGCGUAAAGCGCGCGCAGGCGGCUAUUUAAGUUGGAUGUGAAAGCCUACGGCUCAACCGUAGAACUGCAUCCAAAACUAUUUAGCUAGAGUGUGGGAGAGGAAGAUGGAAUUAGUUGUGUAGGGGUAAAAUCCGUAGAGAUAACUAGGAAUACCAAAAGCGAAGGCAAUCUUCUGGAACACUACUGACGCUGAGGCGCGAAAGCGUGGGGAGCAAACAGGAUUAGAAACCCGGGUAGUCC
rnacentral:rRNA from 1 species